rnacentral:lncRNA from 1 species
GGCUGUUGCUACAUCACAGUCACUAAUGCUUAGGGCUUGACCAAAACCUCUUUUCACUCCUUAAAAGCCUCUUUGUCCCAAAUUUUGUCUAGAACAUCUCGUUCCUAAGAUACAUCUCUUUCAUUCCCAUUUCUUUUCCUUUUUCACCCUGAGGGUCAUUUACAAUCUCAGCUCCUUCACUGUUUUGUUUUGUUUCCUUUCCAGGGACCAGUUUGAACCAGGAACCUCUGGAAAGAAAUGAGUCCUAAAUGGAUGGUAACAUUUCCCUCUUGUAUUGGGAACACUUAUUUGAGAGGAGUGAAGGAAUUAAAAAGGCCUCUGCACAUUUCUUAUGAAUUCUUGCUAAAAAAUAAAAAUCAAAGAAAUCUUUCAUGUUUUCUUUUAAUUUAGCCUCAAUGGAAAAUAGCUAAGGUAAAAAGGACAUCUUGGGGGUUCUCCAAAUACAAAAUUAUUUCUACCUGGGUUUAGGAUCAAUAGAAUGACAUUUUAUAGAGAUCACAAA